rnacentral:piRNA from 1 species
UAGGCUCUGAGCUGACAGUGACAC